rnacentral:rRNA from 1 species
AAUUAUCGCUAAGUGGGAAACGAAGUGGGAAGGCAUAGACAGUCAGGAGGUUGGCUUAGAAGCAGCCACCCUUUAAAGAAAGCGUAAUAGCUCACUGAUCGAGUCGUCCUGCGCGGAAGAUGUAACGGGGCUAAGCGAUAAACCGAAGCUGCGGGUGUGCACUUUUAGUGCACGCGGUAGGAGAGCGUUCUGUAAGCCUGCGAAGGUGGCUUGUAAAGGCUGCUGGAGGUAUCAGAAGUGCGAAUGCUGACAUGAGUAGCGAUAAAGGGGGUGAAAAGCCCCCUCGCCGUAAGUCCAAGGUUUCCUGCGCAACGUUCAUCGGCGCAGGGUGAGUCGGCCCCUAAGGCGAGGCAGAGAUGCGUAGCUGAUGGGAAGCUGGUUAAUAUUCCAGCACCGUCGUACAGUGCGAUGGGGGGACGGAUCGCGGAAGGUCAUCAGGGUGUUGGACGUCCCUGUUGCUGCAUUGAAGAUGGCGCUUAGGCAAAUCCGGGCGCGAGAAUCAAGGGUGUGGCACGAGCGAGCAAGUCUCGCGAAGUGAUUGGAAGUGGUUCCAAGAAAAGCCUCUAAGCUUCAGCUGUACGAGACCGUACCGCAAACCGACACAGGUGGACGGGAUGAAUAUUCCAAGGCGCUUGAGAGAACUCAGGAGAAGGAACUCGGCAAAUUGAUACCGUAACUUCGGGAGAAGGUAUACCCUGGUAGUGUGAAGCGCCUGCGCGCUGAGCAUGAAGGGGUCGCAGAGAAUCGGUGGCUGCGACUGUUUAUUAAAAACACAGCACUCUGCAAAGACGAAAGUCGACGUAUAGGGUGUGACGCCUGCCCGGUGCCGGAAGGUUAAGUGAUGGGGUGCAAGCUCUUGAUCGAAGCCCCGGUAAACGGCGGCCGUAACUAUAACGGUCCUAAGGUAGCGAAAUUCCUUGUCGGGUAAGUUCCGACCUGCACGAAUGGCGUAACGAUGGCCACACUGUCUCCUCCUGAGACUCAGCGAAGUUGAAGUGUUUGUGAUGAUGCAAUCUACCCGCGGCUAGACGGAAAGACCCCAUGAACCUUUACUGUAGCUUUGCAUUGGACUGUGAACCGGCCUGUGUAGGAUAGGUGGGAGGCGCAGAACUCGAGUCGCCAGAUUCGAGGGAGCCAUCCUUGAAAUACCACCCUGGUUUGUUUGCGGUUCUAACCUUGGUCCGUUAUCCGGAUCGGGGACAGUGCAUGGUAGGCAGUUUGACUGGGGCGGUCUCCUCCCAAAGCGUAACGGAGGAGUUCGAAGGUACGCUAGGUACGGUCGGAAAUCGUGCUGAUAGUGCAAUGGCAUAAGCGUGCUUGACUGUGAGACUGACAAGUCGAACAGGUGCGAAAGCAGGACAUAGUGAUCCGGUGGUUCUGAAUGGAAGGGCCAU